UGCCUUUCAUAUUUAAAUACUCUAUACAAAUCAGUCAAGGCACUUGCAUUUCAGCCUUUCAUAUACUACACCUUUGAUAUUUAGAAGAAAUAUUUAAACAAGAAACAUAACAGAGCUUACAGUGCCUUGCGUGGGUAGAAGACCUGGGCUAUUUUCUCCAAGUCAUCGAAGGUUUCCACAAAGUGCUUGGGUUGUGGCACAUACGGAGUCCUCACUGCGAUCAGAAACCACACCCUGUUCUCCCUGUAGAGCACGUCCUUUAUGAUCUCCGCCAGAACCGCGGAGGAGGUGCGCUUGUAGAUGCAAAAGUUGAAGAACAGCGCAUUCAGCCAGCUGAUGGACAUGGCUGUAUCAGUACCAGUAUCUGGUGGACAGCCACUCCAACCAGCAAUCCGUGGGCAGAGCGGCGAUGGAGGGAUAGUUGCGGAACUCGGCAUAGGCCACCAGUGCGGAGGUCUCCCGGCAAAGAGCCAAUAUCCUGUAGGUC